GUUGUUGUUUGGAUAGUUGCCAAUUUUUUGGCUUGCCAAUGCUCCACUACCAACUCUAGUUCAAUUUUUUAGCCAAUAUUGGCCAACUUGUGGGCAAGAAAUAGCUCAACCAAAAUAUUGGCUAGCCAAAAUUUUGAUGGGGCAAUCUUGGGCACAAACCAAACACACCCUAGGUUUCUUCCUCGCUGGUCGCUGCGGUCCGCUCCUCUUCGUGCCGCGCCGCGCCAUGGCCGGCGACGGUCCGCCGCUCCCGCCGCUCCCUCCCUCCGCUCAACCAACUGCCCCUCCCUCCACUCCGCUUCCCCCUCGAGCUCGCGCGCCGCCGCCACCCCUCCUCUCUCUCCGCCGCUCGCCGCUCCCCUCCAUGGCCACUGCCCUCCGCCUCCUGUGUUGACCUCGUCCGCGUCCGGCACCUCCAUUCUGCCACGGGAAAGUACCACUCUCACCCCGUCGUUUGAGCAGCAGGCCUGUGUGGAGCUCCCGGCGGCCGGCGAGGUUCUUGGGGAUCCUCAACCGCACGCAUCCGGCGAGGUCCAUGGGGAGCUGCCGAAGAAGAUUUGCAGAAGCAGUAUUGCACAACCUUUCAACGGAAAUCUGCUAGUAGUAACGUGGUAUCAUCAUGUACAACUAAUGCUGAUGAAGUUUGCCAGCAGUAUCAGCUCUUCAGAUUCUACAAAGCAAUUGAUGAAGUUUGCCAGCAGAAAUGUGCAGUACUAGUGCAAUGGUCUUCAUUGUGCAAUGGGCUCUGUCCACGUCCCGCCCCGGCGAGCUCCGCCCCGGCUUCGUCUUGCUCGGUGGCGUCGAGGCCGGCGGCGCUUGUUUCUGCUCCGGCGACUUUCAGCAGGGCUGAAAAAAAAGGAGGCGGCGGCGCCGGGAGUCUCUAGGCGAGGGCGACGACGAAGCUUAGCUAGGCGAGCUCCAAUCCGACGGGAAGAAUGGAGGUAUCCAUGGCAGAAAAGCAAACAGAGAAGGGAUAGAGGAGAGAGAAUGGAGUCCCUUUGUAUUGUUUUGAGAUACUCUGAAUAUCCUGAGACAUUUUCCUGUCAUUUCCCUUUGUACUGGUUUAAAGAUAGUCUGAAUUUCUGGACGUGUUCUUAUACAUGAAUGUAUUAUACUGUAGUAAGUGUAUGUGCUAGCAGUUGUACCAAAUCUGUCGUCUGAAGGAAGCUCUGUGCUGUGCUAAAAAUUGAUCCUUGCCUCGUCCUGGCAGCUGGCGAAGUGCUCACUCUGAGCUUUGAGGCGUCAGUGCAUAGCUCCUCUGUGCGUGCGGUAGCGAACGCCCACCUAGUCUCAAGGAAAGGAACGGACAUGUAGCGGUGACCAGCCCAAGUCAGGCGGGCAGAGGUGGUCAGCUAGUGGGCACCCAUGGACAGGCCCACCUACAGCCUGAAUCCACAUUCCCUCCUGGCUCCUGCUACAAUCCAGUGCUUUUGGAGUACCAUGAGGGCACUAUGCCUCCCCCAUUUUCUCUCCGACAGAGAAAAUCUCGCCGACAGGGAAGAUGAUGGGGAACGACGGGGUCGUUGGUCCGGCGGCCGAAGAUGCGGCAAGAGAGAAGGAGAGAGGGGGAUAGGGGACAAGGCAGGAGCACGCAGGCAAGGAUAGGGGAAAAUCUGCAGCUGAUACCUCCCAUUGCGUCUUCCUCCUCCCCCACGCCCAGGUGAGUUGACGAGAUAGUGGUCGAGAAUGUAUGUAGUACAUAUUCAGUUUGUUUCCUAACCUAAUUUCUUUGAUUCUGCAUAGUAUUCAAUUUCCCCUAAUAAUCCACUAGUGCGGCCAUCCUUGUUGUAAUUCGCACUUUCUAAAAAACAAAGUUAUGUGUGCUUUCUUCUCCACAGAUUAUCGAACUCUCCAUCUCCAUAGAAGGCAUAUAUUGAUGUUCUGAUUUAGAUUACUGCCUUUUUUUUUUUUGCUUGAUUACUGAGCCUCACGAGGUUCUCUAAAUUUUGGUCAUGCAUAUGCCAAAUCAAAUAUAUCGUAGUUAUUUUUUCUUAGGUUUUGUGACGUACAUCUGUGACAUUUUGCACCUUCAAUCAGAAACUGUUUUUUUUCAUACUAAAGGUGCUCUUUUUGUAUAUUAGAUGAUAUUUGCGUGCUCUUUGGGUUUGAUUGAUUGAUAGAUUCGUGUUUAAAUUCGAUUUUGCGGACUGAGGCAGUUUUACUAGAGGGGAUAGUGUAUCUCGACAGCAGAGGUACCUGGAGCUGCAGAAAGCAAUGUAAGUGAAUAUUGCAUUCACUUUCUUCUGGAAAAAAUAUCUUUUGUUGUUAGCCGCAUUAUUCUACUUGUGUGGCAUCGAAUCUGGAUGCGCAUUUCAGUUGGCGCAGCUUUACAGCGCAGGAAGUUAUAAGGUCUGCAUUUACGAUAAGAUGAGGUAUGAAUAAUUAUUUGAGUGGAUUGUGGAACAGAUAGAAGGUUCUGAUAUAAAGUUAGGAGAUCUAGCUCCAAGUGCAGCUUUAGAAGAAUUAACAAGUAUUUAAUCCUAAUAACUAUAUACAGAAAACAUAAUAGGUACAACAAUGCAAGGACUGUAGCGUUAUUAAUACAUGAUUAAUUAAGUAUUAAAAGUUCAGUAGCAAAGGAAGUCGGUAUUUAAAUAUCAGUUAGUGAAGAUCUUUGGAAACUUACUUUUGCAAUAAGUUCAGUUGCAUUUUUCAUGUAGAGCCCCCGCAGUCUCCUAGAGUUAAGACAUGUUAAAGAUCUGGCUGCACUGCAGAAAAAAAUGAUUAUGAAUGGAACCACAGAAAAGGACAAGAAAAACCGGGGCGCAAGGGGAGACUAAGAGCCUGAAAGAUUCGAGCCAGCAACAAGUCGUUAAGGAGCCUCACCCUCUCAGGUAUUUCUUUUCUUUCUCCUUGGAGCUUAAUUUUGCCUGCCAUUGAAUGGAUUUUGCAUCGAAGAAAUAUUGGGGCAAAAGAAAAUGAUUUGCUUGGAAUGCAUUGCGUUGUACCAUUCUACUGAACAUGUAAAGUUGCCCUACAAAUAGCAUGGAUUUUCUUUUACAGUUUAUAUGGGAUAAAAUAGUUGAUAGGAUCUGGAUAUUCAUACAGGAAAUAGAAAGAUAAUGGUUGGUGUAAUUUUUUUAGACGAGUCAAAAGUUUUGCCUUUUAUAUUGAUAAAGAAGGACCAAACAAGGGGGCCUAAGCCAUCAUAAACAAAAAAGGAACCAGAAAAAAAGUAGCCAAUUAUUUUCGCCAGAUCUGUGUCACCCGUCAUAAACACGAUGGAUGAUGUAUUUUUGUGAAGCACCUUGACAGAGUUACAAUACAGUUCUAAUUUUACAUAUCUACAUAUAAAUAAAAAAGGAGAUAAAUAGAAGGAAAUGGGCUUGGAUGCCCACAAGGCGCAGUUCACAUCAGAAAACCACCAAAACCAGCCAUGUGUUGGCUAAUGGUACCAAGGAAACCAGCAACGUGUUGUAUUUGUUCACAUUAACUGUAUAUUGUUUAAAGAAAAGUAGUAAUGAGCAGUAAUGACUUCCAACCAAGUGGCAUUCUGAUCAUUUUGAGUCAUUUGCUCUAUGAUGUUGGUUAAAUCUUUUUUACCUUUUACAUUUUCAGUAUCCAGUUUUAGAUGAAGUAAUUAUUGAGUUAACAUUGUUUCUACAAACAUAGUUGAGGACGUUGCAUGUACAAUACACUUGUGCCAUUAUAAAAGCAAUUAUGUUGGUAGAAUAUGUGCAUAAUAAUUGGUCUGAAAGCCGUAAACAUUGAUUUAUUUUUCUAGACCAGAUCCUACAGAAUUUUACUUUGAAUUUCAUUUCAUAUCUUAUUUUUUUUUAGGAUGACUUCCUAAAAGAUGGAUACCCAAAUUGUUGGCUUUUGUCCGACAUCUAAUUUUUUUUGUGAUUGUAGAACAAUUAGCUCUUCAGUAUAGUAUUCAUUUUCCAGGCACAUCCUGACUGUCAGAAUAUACCUACCACUUUAAGAUGAAACAAGUUAUGUCAAUGUUUUUACUGCCAGUCUCAUUGAUCUUUCAGGAAGUUGUCCUGAAAAAUAAGAUAUGAGGUGAAACAGUCCACUGUAUUUGAACUUUCGACCCACACACAUGCCCUACUCACAGUUGGUAUUUUUCAAAUUAAGUUGCAAAGUUUGUAGUGACAUGGUUCCACUUUUCCCUCUCUUUUUCUAAGAAAAUGUACCUGCCUUUUCUGUCACUAGCAAUAGAUGUUUACAAAUUACAAGCACUUGUUCAAGGUGAACACAUGUCAAAUCAAUACUUUCUGAACUGGGAAACUGUAGUUAUCUUCUCUCAUACUCCGCUACUAUUGUUGCGGUGCUGGUGUUCAUCAAUAAAAACCUACUGGUCUGUUGAUCUUUAACUGUUUAUAUUUCUUUCAAUUUCCUUUACAUCACUUGUGUGUCUGUGUUAAAAUUGCCAAGUUCCCAGGUGCAGAGCAUCUGUUCUAAUUGAUUCUGUUGAAGAAUUGAACAAAAGUUUCAAUCAAUUUACAUCAUAUCAUCCCUAGAGGGUUAUUCUCUCCUUUGCAACUUUGUAGCAUGCAACAAAUAUUCUCAAGGCAAAGAGGAAAAUAUGGCAUGUGAUAUAUAUAAUGGCUUGCAAUGUUUGGUACAUAUAUUAGGAGGUGGCACCUCUCUACUGUUCAUUACAGGUAAUAUUUUAGUAGCUUUCGAAACAUUUCACUACAAUGGCAGAUUUCAUAAUCUUUAGAGUAGUUUUAGUAUGAGUAUGAAAUAGAAGUAGUGCUGUAUCAGGAAAGUUCAUGACAAGGUACAUAAUGUCUUAAUCCACUGGCACUACCGGGUAGACUGUUGCAUCUGCUAUACUUAUUCUGUUCAGUACUGGUUAUAUAUGGCAUCUCAUUUAUAACCAGUGUGUCUCAUUUCUUGCAUAUAUCAGCACUUAACUACUUGUGAAUCAACUUCUAAAUGCUAGAAGAUAACUGUUUGCAUGCAUACAACGGUUCAGUCCACAUUGAGGCAGACCUCCAAAACAACGCACACAUCUUGAAACAAGUUGCGAAUUGCGGCGAAGUUUGGGCAUGAGGGCGAUUGGUUAUGGUGUCAAAACGAGAAGAUUGAGCUGGCUGAACCAGAGCUGAUAUGCGAACCAGAAUGAGUGGUCUUUGGUAUUGCUAGAUUCCUGAGAGAUUACUAGCAGCGUAUCUAUUUUUGGACAGCUUAUUUUAAUCACGGUUGCAUCUGCUGUUGUGUACCUGUAUAGUUGUAUGCAUGUAGGCAAGGCAUCAGUUGAUUGAAAAGAAAAUCAUUGGAUGAUUAAUUGAUCGUUACAUAUCUCCUCAAAAUACUGCUCCCUAGAAAUGGGAAGCUGCACUUGCUCAUAGAGCUGGUCGCUGCUUUUGUGGCCCAUCUAUCGGCGCGACCGUGCAUUUCCUCAGUUUCCUAAAACACGAUGGUACCAGUUGGCUGGCAAAAUACAGUGAAGUUAUCAUUCGCUGAUGUUUACUCAUUGUUAUUGCUUGGAGCAUAUCCAGAUUUAGUAGGUAUUACAAUUAUAAUAGUUGAUGUUAAGUUCAAACCACAAGAAAUAUGGGAAUUUUGUGUGGAUGUGACUAGAGGUGCUAUAUUUGCAUUGCCUUUCCAAGAUAGAAGAUAUGGUGAUAAACUGUCCUUUUUUACAUGGGUUGCCUCGAAACAUUUCGGUAGCUGUUGCCUGUUGGAUACUAUUGAUAUUGAUAUAUUCCUAAAAGCUGGUAGAAAGAAAGCUUCUACCUGAACUAAAUGCCAAAGGUACGAAUAAAUCAGUCAUUUCUAGAUUUGUCUCAGAUAUUAAAAAUCUCAUGUAUCACCUGUUGAUUGUGUAGUCUCUAAAAGUGAGCCGUCUUGGAAACAGAGUUGCCCAUGAGCUGGCUAGAUUAGGUGGAUCAGUUCCUGCUGAUGUACAUGAGCUGACUAAGGAUGAUUGUAACCAAACCUCGGUUUCGUGAUAUAAUACGAGCAAUAGUUCAAGAAAAAGUACUGUGUGCCAACUGACUAUCCACUACUUAUUCAAUUUCCUCUCCUCAGGCACUGAAUGUAUUAGUCGUAGGUCAGCUUAGUUCUCGUGGCAUGCCAGCAUUAGUGAGUAUGUAAAACAAGAAAUGAUCAAGGAUAUAAAUAGAGGUACGCCUCUCCUUGAAUUAUAUAUAUUUGUUUUACUUUUGUUUUUCGAGGUUGAACAAGAAAAAUAAAUGAUCAAGGAUAUAUAUAUUUGUUUUACUUUUGCAUAAUGCAAUGGUUUAGUUUUAUUGACCAGACUCUUUAUCAGAGACUGGAUCUCACUUUGGAAGAGCAGAAGGUUUAAGGUCUCCCAAGAGAUCAUCCAGGCUGUAGGAGCGGUACAUCUUAGAUUCCAUAUUUUUAUACUUUUGCAUGACUGAUUUGGUUUAUUUUCAUUUGACAGGAACUUUACCAAAGUCUGGAUCUUGGAAGGAUCGAAGGUUAAAUACCAGCAGGGAACUUCAUUUUUAGAAUCAUACUGUAGUCAUUGUGAAAAGGUGCUUUCGCUCAUGUCCAUGUGAUGCCCGAAUGCUAGAAGCCUUGAGCGUUUGGGAAAAUAUUGCUUCCAGGGUAUAUUGGAUUUAAUCUCUUCUACAGCCUUCGUUAGUUCCAAAUCAUCACAAGUUGUUAGUACCUUUGAUAAAGGCCUCUCUUCUGGUUGAUCACACAUUUUUUUAUUAGCUAACAAAGGAAUGUGUCUUAUAAAUGGUUUGAAACUAUACGGUCCUAGCACUGCAGAACACUAAUGGAAUUUCAUAUUGCAUCAUCACUGCUGCCUUCUAUUAUCCAUUUGUCUUUUCCUCGCAAUUGUUACUAAUUUCCUAGCUUCUUAUGCUUCUGAAUUCAUUUUGUCUAGCUGUUUGAUCGACAUUAGUGAUUACUUAUUU